rnacentral:rRNA from 1 species
UACGUAGGGCGCAAGCGUUAUCCGGAAUUAUUGGGCGUAAAGAGCUCGUAGGCGGUCCGUUAAGUCGGAUGUGAAAGCCCCCGGCUCAACCGAGGAAGUGCAUCCGAAACUGGCAGGCUAGAGUACGAAAGAGGGUCGCGGAAUUCCCGGUGUAGAGGUGAAAUUCGUAGAUAUCGGGAGGAACACCGGUGGCGAAGGCGGCGACCUGGGUCGAUACUGACGCUGAGGUGCGAAAGCGUGGGGAGCAAACAGG